rnacentral:lncRNA from 1 species
CACAGCGAAAAUUAAACAAAAAAAAAAUCAAUUCCCACAGAAAUAUUCUUUAUGUUUAGAUAGGAAUUGUGAUAAAAGUUAUACAUUUUUAUAGAUCUACAAACUCCUUUGCUUUUCCUCUGUUCCAGCAUCCUUAUUUUGUCACUCAUAGUUGUCCAAUUGUCCAGCCUUCAAUGAAAUUUCACACAGAGAACAGAUUGUAGUUACCAGUGUUUUCUCCUCUUGUACUAGCAAAAAUAAUGAGAAUAUCUACAAAUUGAAAACACUAGUCACAUAUUUAUAUAAGCCCAAACGGGCUCGACCUGACUCGAUCCAAUAUUUAGUUAACCCAUUUAAUU